ACAGCAGUAGCCACGGGAAUACAGAGGGUGCGAGCGUUAAUCGGAUUUACUGGGCGUAAAGCGUGCGUAGGCGGCUUUUUAAGUCGGAUGUGAAAUCCCUGAGCUUAACUUAGGAAUUGCAUUCGAUACUGGGAAGCUAGAGUAUGGGAGAGGAUGGUAGAAUUCCAGGUGUAGCGGUGAAAUGCGUAGAGAUCUGGAGGAAUACCGGUGGCGAAGGCGGCCCCCUGGACAAAGACUGACGCUCAGGUGCGAAAGCGUGGGGAGCAAACAGGAUUAGAUACCCGCGUAGUCCCUGUCUCUUAUAC
rnacentral:rRNA from 1 species